rfam:Ectocarpus siliculosus strain Ec 32, whole genome shotgun sequence assembly, chromosome LG21
GGGGCCGUGGCGCAAUGGUAACGCGUCAGAUUCCAGUCCUGAAGAUUGGGAGUUCGAUUCUCCCCGGCCUCA